CCCCUAGAUGUUCUGGGCCGCACGCGCGCUACACUGAACAGUUCAACAAGUCUUAACCUUGGCCGAUAGGUCUGGGUAAUCUUUGAACGCUGUUCGUGAUUGGGAUAGACCUUUGCAAUUAUGGGUCUUCAACGAGGAAUUCCUAGUAAACGCAAGUCAUCAGCUUGCAUUGAUUACGUCCCUGCCCUUUGUACACACCGCCCGUCGCACCUACCGAUUGAAUGGUCCGGUGAAAUCUCGGGACGGCGGCUUGGUCGCUUGCGUCCGACUGCUGAAACUUGAUUAAACCAUAUCAUUUAGAGGAAGGUGUANUCGUAACA
rnacentral:rRNA from 1 species